rnacentral:rRNA from 1 species
AGGGAUCAUUGCUGGAA